rnacentral:lncRNA from 1 species
CAUCCAAAUCAAUUAUUAUCAAAUCCAAGAAAUACCCCAAUACUAAUAUCCAAACCAUUAAAGCAAAUCAAUUAACAAUAGCCAAGGAUUGUUGCACUCUCAAUAAACUCUAGUUUUAGAACAUAUGCUACUCGAAGAAGUUCAAUCAUGCUAAUCCAAGUGGAAAAAAAAGAAGAAAGAGAGGCAGAAUUGAUGUCUAGAAAGAAUACCCUGCUUUCCACAAUGAAUAUUCAGUGAUCAUGUUAUGUUCUCUUGCCACACAAGAUCAAUAUGAAAAUGUAUUCAAAGCAAUCAAGUAUGGGGGCUGUAAAAGAGGUUAUAUUGGAAGCAAGUGUUGUGUUCCAAAAUCCAAAUCCAAAUCUUCUUGGCCAACCUUGAAAUUCUCCUCUAAUGCCUAACCUAGCGCUUUGCCUUUUUCCGUGACAUCUACAACAAGAAUAUAAUAAAAUUCAAGCAUUGGUUUAAACAAAAUACAAGCCAAAGAUGAUAAACACUACUUACACAGGGUGAUAGGGUAUGACAUACACUCACAUAAUGAAACGAAUUGUGACUACUAAUGACUUGGAUUCCUAAAUAUAGAAGACAUAAUAGAACUUGACAUAGAGGAACUGGUGUGAUAUGAGAUCUAUUUAGAUAAAUUAUCAGCAUGGCUUAAAUGUUAGACUUGUUCAUAUAUGUGUCAAAUAAGACUUGAUAUUAUUCAAGGUUUGGUAUAGAACUCUAAC